CCUACGGGAGGCAGCAGUGAGGAAUAUUGGCAAUGGUCGGGAGACUGAACCAGCCAAGCCGCGUGAGGGAUGAAGGUACAGAGUAUCGUAAACCUCUUUUGUCAGGGAACAAAGGCGGGGAUGUGUCCCCGGAUGAGUGUACCUGAAGAAAAAGCAUCGGCUAACUCCGUGCCAGCAGCCGCGGUAAUACGGAGGAUGCGAGCGUUAUCGGGAUUUAUUGGGUUUAAAUGGUGCUCAGGCGGUCUGUUAAGUCAGCGGUCAAAACCAGGGGCCCAACCCCGUCCCGCCGUUGAAACUGGCAGUCUAGAGUUGGAGAGAAGUAUGCGGAAGGCGCGGUGUAGCGGUGAAGUGCAUAGAUAUCGCGCAGAACUCCGAUUGCGAAGGCAGCAUGCCGGCUCCACACUGACGCUGAGGCACGAAAGCGUGGGUAUCGAACAGGAUUAGAUACCCUAGUAGUC
rnacentral:rRNA from 1 species